rnacentral:rRNA from 1 species
UACGAGGGGGGCAAGCGUUGUUCGGAAUUAUUGGGCGUAAAGGGCGCGUAGGCGGUUUGACAAGUCUGAUGUGAAAUCUAUGGGCUCAACCCAUAGCCUGCAUUAGAAACUGUCGGGCUUGAGUAUGGGAGAGGUGAGUGGAAUUUCCGGUGUAGCGGUGAAAUGCGUAGAUAUCGGGAGGAACACCUGUGGCGAAAGCGGCUCACUGGACCAUAACUGACGCUGAGGCGCGAAAGCUAGGGGAGCAAACAGG